GAGCCCUUUAGAGGUUUUACAAGGGCAUAAUUCUUAUAUUGUCCCCCUAAAAAUUUCUAGAUGUAUCUGUUUUGUGCACAAAACAAAUGUUGGAAAGUUAGAACCUAGAAUUCUUAAAUGUGUAUUUAUAGGUUAUUCUGGUACUAAACAGAGCUAUAAAUGUUAUCAUCCUCCUAUCAGGAAAUAUUUUGUUAGUAUGGAUGUUACCUUUAAAGAAUCUAAGCCUUAUUUUCCUAACAAGUCACCUCUUCAAGGGGAGCAUAAGGAGGAAAAGGAAAAUGUGUUUUUUCUUAAUCAGACUAUUAAGCUUAGGUCACACCUUGGUAAUGAGCCAUUUAACUAGGACCAAUCACCUCAGGGGGAGACUAUUAAGCUUAGGUCACACUUUAGCAAUAAGCCAUCUAAUCAGGACCAACCAUCUCCUCAAACCUCAGAGAAAUUGAAUAGUUUAGAUUUAAGAACUUACAUGCAUCGAAAUAAGACAGAUACAAUCAUUAAACUUGAUACACCUAAUCAACUAGCACCUCUGGAAUCGAUUCUUGAAGAAUGUGAUGAGUCUCCUUUAC
rnacentral:misc_RNA from 1 species